CUGUGCUAUUCAUCAUACAUAUCAGCUCUCCCAUUUGGGGGGCACAUAGUAGAAUUGUACUCUCUUGCUCCUUUUUGCUUGGGUGGGACCACAGGACUAGUUCUAGCCAAUGAGUUUGAGUGGAAGUCAUAAUUCAUGUUACUUCAGAACUGGAUCAUUUAGUUGCCACUGCGAGAUACUCCACAGCUGUCUCUCUUCUCAGUCAUGUUGCCCUGUUAUCCUGAGUUGUGAGGAUGAUGAUGACACUAGAGCAAAGCUCUAAGCUGAAUGAUCCACAGUGGACAUGUUGUAUGAGGAGUGGCAAAUCAAAGGCAUUGCAGCCUCUUUCAUCACUGCCGAUUGCUGAUGCCAACCAUGUGCCAAGUGCUUAAUACGUCACCUUAAAUCUUCUCAUCCACCCUCAGAGUAGCUGCAGCAUCAACCCAGUGCCCUGACUUUCAAGACGACUAUGAAAACACCCCAACUGCUGCUAAAUUACCAGCAACAAGGAUCUGACAUUCUUAUUCAAAAGAAAGAACACCGAAAUUGACCUUACCCUGACAAUAUGAUGGCUGAAGGAUUUAUGAUCACUUAUAACAUUUGAAAUUGAGGCGGAACCUGAAGAAUAAGACUCUGGUGAAAGGUCCUAUUUAUGCUUUUGAUGUCUUUCACUUGGACAUUUACCACAUGCCUAUUGGUAGGUUUGUUACAUAGGUCAGUUAAGGUGAUACAAGAAUAAAUAAAACACUAUCCCUAUCCUUUAAUAUCAUUUAUUUAUGGGGUCAAUCACAGAUUUUCAUUUUUCAAAAUCUUUGAUAAAUGUCAGAAUUAUGUUUUUUAAUAUUUUUACAGAAUUAUUACAAUAUAUGGUAGAGGAUGGAAGGCAAGGUAGUAUGAAACGGAAAAGAUAUUUUGAAUUAAGGUAUUUGGACCUGGAUUAAUAUUUUUGCUUUGGUCUUUAUUAGCUGAGUGACCUUGAGAAAGUUCUUCUACUAAAAAAGAACAAAGAUAAUAAUUACUUCAUGAAAUUGCUGUAAAAAACACAUAACAAGUAUAUCCAGACUCAACAGUGUAUGCUCAAAAAUGCAGAUCCUUUUUCCCUUACCUGCAAAUAAAGUCUUACAGUAAUACAGUGGGGGUAAAGGUUUAAACUGGUGGAUUCAAGAAGGGCUAUAGAAAGAGGUAGCAUCUUAAUAGGGGAAGGAGAGGAUCCAAGAAAUCAGAUCCAUUUUCUACAAAAAGAAAUGGGAAGACAGAUAAUUCAAGAAGAAAAGUUUACAUGAUUAAAGACCCGAAGUUAGAAAUAGUGAUGUGUCUCAAUAGUAAGUUAGGAAUUGGGGUGGACACAAUUGUUGGAAGAAGGAUGGUUUCAGCAAAGGCCCAAGUUAGGUGACAAUUUCAAGUGUUUGUGAAGAUAUAUGAACAAAAUUAUAAAGUAGUUAGGGUAUAAGAAAUAGGGAGGAGGGAAUGAAUUAACAUUUAUGGAGUGUCUUGCAUGUUCCAAGCACUGUACUACUUGCCUUAUAAACCUUUCUUCAAUAAACGCCUACAACAAUCCUGAGAUGUGGAAUUAUUAGUUCCUCAAUGGACCCAGAGAGUUUCAAUUAUGUGCUUAAGAACACAGAGUUAGUAAAGGACAGAGACAGAAUUCAAAUUAAGCCUAUGUUACUCCACAUCCUAUGCAUUCACUAAACCUCUCAAGAAAACCAAUUUAUUGGACCUUUUAAUCAUUUAAGAAUGAGAUGAUAGGGGGCGGUUCCAAGAUGGCCAAAUAGGAACAGCUCCAGUCUACAGCU
rnacentral:lncRNA from 1 species